rnacentral:rRNA from 1 species
AGUGAACGCUGGCGGUAGGCCUAACACAUGCAAGACGAACGGCAGCACAGUAAGAGCUUGCUCUUACGGGUGGCGAGUGGCGGACGGGUGAGGAAUACAUCGGAAUCUACUUUUUCGUGGGGGAUAACGUAGGGAAACUUACGCUAAUACCGCAUACGACCUACGGGUGAAAGCAGGGGAUCUUCGGACCUUGCGCGAUUGAAUGAGCCGAUGUCGGAUUAGCUAGUUGGCGGGGUAAAGGCCCACCAAGGCGACGAUCCGUAGCUGGUCUGAGAGGAUGAUCAGCCACACUGGAACUGAGACACGGUCCAGACUCCUACGGGAGGCAGCAGUGGGGAAUAUUGGGCAAUGGGCGCAAGCCUGAUCCAGCCAUACCGCGUGGGUGAAGAAGGCCUUCGGGUUGUAAAGCCCUUUUGUUGGGAAAGAAAAGCAGCAGGUUAAUACCCCGCUGUUCUGACGGUACCCAAAGAAUAAGCACCGGCUAACUUCGUG